CAGGACAAUUUGUCUCAUCUAGGUGCGCAGUUUAUAUCAAUAUUAAUUGGCUAUCAGUUUAUUGUGUGGUCAUUUUUGUGGAGUGAGAAUUUACUGAUAUAAAUCUAAUUGAUAAAUUACAAGCUUCAAGAGUUUUGAUUUGGUUGGAUUGCUGGGAAUUGUGACUGUAUCCGCUGGGCCAGAUGCAGGGAAUAUGAGCAGAGAGCCGCGAGAUGGGCAGCCACUGAAUGGAGGCUAGCCAUGGAGGCAGAGAGACUGCUCCUAGGGCCAGAGAGUAGAAUCUGAGAGUCAGGUAGAGAGGUUUUGAGAGCUCUGGGUCAAAGAGUCUGCCGAGGUGGAAAUACCUGACAGUGCCAUGUGGUCCAACUGUGCAGCUCUAGCAUGAGGGGGUGAUUAUUAUUAUUAUUAUUGUUGUUGUUGUUAUUGUUAUUAUUAUCAUUAUUAUUAUUAUUUAUUGCAACAGCACCCUUCCUACCUAGUCUCAGUGUGCUGGAGGCUUCCAAGGGUGUUGUAAGACUCCCUCAUCUGAUGAAUCAGUAUCAAGAAAAAAAGGGAAAGAAGAACGUCUUGACAGUAUUAGAUUAGAGAGCUAAUCUCUGUGAAGAUCUCCACACCGUUUCAUCUCUGUGCAGGGAAGUCUUCUGCUAUGACUUUGUUGAAGAAGUUUACUGGACUUAGGAACUAGAAAUCUUCAUUAUCUUCUAUAUCUAUUAUCCUUAGUUUUGGUCUUUUAAUUAUGUUCUGAAAUUCCUGGAUGUUUUGAAUUCAAUAAACCAUAUAUGUUUAUCUGA
rnacentral:sRNA from 1 species